rnacentral:rRNA from 1 species
UACGUGGGGUGCGAGCGUUGUUCGGAAUUACUGGGCGUAAAGCGUGUGAAGGCGGUCUGCUAAGUCUGGUGUGGAAGCCCUGAGCUUAACUCAGGAACUGCGCCGGAAACUAGUAGACUAGAGUUCGGGAGAGGGUCGUGGAAUUCCUGGUGUAGAGGUGAAAUUCGUAGAUAUUCGGAAGAACACCAGUGGCGAAGGCGACUCACUGGACACAUAUUGACGCUGAGGUGCGAAAGCGUGGGGAGCAAACAGG